rfam:Camelus ferus unplaced genomic scaffold scaffold2490, whole genome shotgun sequence.
GGAGGGGACAGCUCAAGUGAUAGAGCACUUGCUUAGCAUACACGAGGUCCUGGGUUCAAUCCCCAGUACCUCCU